AUCUCAGUUCGGAUUGCAGGCUGCAACUCGCCUGCAUGAAGCUGGAAUUGCUAGUAAUCGCGGAUCAGCAAGCCGCGGUGAAUACGUUCCCGGGCCUUGUACACACCGCCCGUCACACCAUAAGAGUCGGGAACACCCGAAGUCCGUAGUCUAACCGCAAGGGGGGCGCGGCCGAAGGUGGGUCCGGUAAUUGGGGUGAAGUCGUAACAAGGUACC
rnacentral:rRNA from 1 species